rnacentral:misc_RNA from 1 species
GAUGAAGAACGCAGCGAAAUGCGAUAAGUAAUGCGAAUUGCAGAAUUUCCGUGAGUCAUCGAAUCUUUGAACGCACAUUGCGCCCCCUGGUAUUCCGGGGGGCAUGCCUGUCCGAGCGUCAUUACAACCCUCAAGCUCAGCUUGGUGUUGGGCCCCGCCGCCCCGGCGGGCCCUAAAGUCAGUGGCGGUGCCGUCCGGCUCCGAGCGUAGUAAUUCUUCUCGCUCUGGAGGUCCGGUCGUGUGCUCGCCAGCAACCCCCAAUUUUUUUCAGGUUGACCUCGGAUCAGGUAGGGAUACCCGCUGAACUUAAGCAUAUCAAUAAGCGGAGGA